rnacentral:misc_RNA from 1 species
AAGCAGAAGGCUUGCCUUGAAGCAUGCAAGGAACUUCACAAGAUUGGUGCUUUAACUGAUAAUCUUGUUCCUGAUAUUGUUAUGGAAGAAGUUGUUGCUCAAGAAGUUGGGAACAUGCCCUAUGAUGAUGAACAGCCUAUGUACUUCCCACCUGAGCUGGUCAGCCAAGGUUCAAAGGAGUCAAAAGGAACGUACUACUGCUACUUAAUUGAAUUAAACCAGAAUUUUCAUUCUGACAUUCCUGUACAUAAUAUUAUACUUGUCAUGGGGAGUGAGCUG